AGUGGAGUGGCUUAGUGGCAAGAGCACGGGCUUGGGAGUCAGAGGAUGUGAGUUCUAAUCCUGCCUCCGCCA
rfam:Ornithorhynchus anatinus chromosome X1, whole genome shotgun sequence.